rnacentral:rRNA from 1 species
GACGAACGCUGGCGGCGUGCUUAACACAUGCAAGUCGAACGGAAAGGCCUCUUUCGGGGGGUACUCGAGUGGCGAACGGGUGAGUAACACGUGAGUAACCUGCCCUUGACUUUGGGAUAACUUCAGGAAACUGGGGCUAAUACCGGAUAGGAGCUCCUGCUGCAUGGUGGGGGUUGGAAAGUUUCGGCGGUUGGGGAUGGACUCGCGGCUUAUCAGCUUGUUGGUGGGGUAGUGGCUUACCAAGGCUUUGACGGGUAGCCGGCCUGAGAGGGUGACCGGCCACAUUGGGACUGAGAUACGGCCCAGACUCCUACGGGAGGCAGCAGUGGGGAAUAUUGCACAAUGGGUGGAAGCCUGAUGCAGCAACGCCGUGUGCGGGAGGACGGCUUUCGGGUUGUAAACCGCUUUCGCUCAUGACGAAGCUUUGUGUGACGGUAGUGGGUAAAGAAGCACCGGCUAACUACGUG